AUAAUCCUAAUUCCUGAAUACAAACACUUUGGAAAAAGACCUUUUUUGUCCUUCCUAAUUUUUUUCACUCCACACAAAGUUGUGUACAUUUCAGUCAUUUUACCUGCACCUGGAUCCUCCAUUUCAAUCUGGGUUAUACCCGACUUGAAUAUCGUUGUUUUUUUUAGUUUUUACCGGGUUAAUCCAACCACAACCGGGUCUAACUGUUGUAAACAAUUUCCUCCUAUCACUCCCUGCAAUUUAGCCUCCAUGAUUUGUAUGUUCCUCCAACUGCCUGAUUUUACUCACAUUUCUAUCAUCUUUGCAUCGGUUUAAAUUUUGAAUUCCUUGAUUAAUGGAGACGUGAUUUCAAACCUACGCUGCAGAAUUUUUUCUUUCGUUUUCUGAUCAUUCACCGAUUACUGGUGACUUUUAUGGUAGGCUUCCUCACGAAAUCGAAACUGGAAAUUUGCAGGCAAUAGACGUACUCCGUUCGAUCAUUUGAAUUAUACGGGGAAGCAUUUUUCUCUGUCUCAUUCAUUCUUCUCAGAACAGUGAAUACAGCAAAUUAACCGGGUUAUCCCGUAUACAAGCAUAUCAACACUUUGUAACUUCCUUUAUUCACUCCCACCAAUUUAGCUUCCAUUAUCUCACCUCUUCUGUUUUCGUCCCGGGAUAAGCAAUUUUUAUGGAUGCAUCUGAUACGCUUAUUGAUCUUCUCUCCAUUUUGAUUCUGCAUUCCUACUGUUUGAUUUAAGUUCUCAGAGAACUUUCUAUGAAGUAGUGCACGACAACAGUUGAUACUUGGUGGUCUUUAUGUGGCUACACCAGAGCAAAUAUACAGAGGAUCAAGGUUGAUGGGCUUACCAAUAAUGAAGUCAAAAUCCAUUUACAGGUGGAUGUAUAUCUUUAGUGGUGUCAUUUCCCUCUCGAUAGGCAUGCUUCCAAGAAAUCACAGAGGAGAAAUCUCCAGGAGAAGAAAUUGUAUAUGCCUCCUAAACUAAUCACUAAGUUUCCCAGUAAACUCUAACGAUGAUGGAUUCAUCAACAUCUGGUUUGAUGAGGAUUCCAUAGGGUACUCCCUCUCCAUCAUCAUGCGAAAAAGCGACAUGGAUCAAGCAUGUUAGUAGUUGUGCUUUCAUAAUCGACAAUUGCACAUCGUGUAUUUGAUUGAUGGAUUCAUUACACUCUAAAACAGGUUAUAAAUGGGGUUUCUCCGGUGUCAGCGCUUUUUUUUACACGCUUUAUAUGUAAAAGAUUCCAAGUGCGGCGUUAUGACAUGUAUACUAUCAUAAUCGUUUAUUCAAGUACCAGAAGGGAUUCAAAUUGUAAAAUCAUAUAAAGGAUUCAAGGAUUCUACAUUGGCUAUUAGUGAAGUUUCGGGCAAUGCAUCAGAUAAGAUUUAUCAGGCUCUGCAAUGAUGAAAAAGUAUGGCUUGAUUUCACAGACUAAAUGUUAGAGGUUGAAGAUGGCCAUACUCUCGCCGAUUACAGCAUCCAGAAAGAGUCGAUGCUGCAAUUGGUUUUGAGGCUUCAUGGUGGUUUAAUUGAGCAUUCUUUGAUGGCUUUUGCAAGGAAGUAUAACCAAGAAAAUAUGAUUUGCCAUAAAUGAAGUGCCCGCCUGCAUCCCCGUGUUGUAAACUGCAUGAAGAAGAAGUGCAGCCACGGCCCACAUCAACCAGUUGAGUCAAAAGAAGAUCAAGUAGAUGAUUUCAAGUCUGUGUAAGUUGCAGCUGGUGUCUAUCUGCAACUUUUGUUUUUUAUUAGAGACUACAGUAAAGUUCUAUGACAUUAUAAAGUAGUAACAUCAUAAAUAUUGCUAUGAUAAUGCCACUACUGGCUUCUAGGAACCACUACUGGUAGGCACUGCAUAAGGAAUGGAGCAAACAUCAUGCUUUACUUUCACUACAAUUGUUUUUAGUCAGCUGCAUUUUUGAACUCUAUGCUUAUGUUGUAUUCUACAAGGUUGUCUAUUCCAUCACACUUCCUGUAUGAAUUUUUGUUAGAUUUCUAGAUUCACCGUCCAUUCCCCAUUACUGAAUCAUUGUCCUAUUCCGAUUAUAGAG